CUGCAUAGUGUCCGUGUCACCUCAUCGACGUCAGUGCAUUGGUAGGACACUAGCUUUCAUUUUGGAUAUUUUGUAAUUAACUUUUACUUUCUCAUGUGAAAUUGAAACUCAUGUAAUGCAUUUUGUUAUCAAUGUAAAUAGUGGAAAUUAUGUUUAUGACUGAAAAAGUAAAUAUUUAUUUGUGACUUUUAUAUGAAUAUCAUAUGAAAUGAAUGACUGAGAAAUGGGAGUAUAUUUGAGAAAUAUUGAGCUUUUGUUGAUGAAAUGGAGUUUGGGAUUGAUAGAAAAUUUUGGAAGUAUUUUUCAUAGGUUUUGAAGAACUGUUUUAUCCAUUUUUAGUCGGCACUCUGCCGGAUUUUUUAUAAAUUUG
rnacentral:misc_RNA from 1 species